AUUAACGUAUUUUCCAGCAGUGUGGGGUUUUUUGGGUACUGUGGGGUUAACCCCAUAAUGAAGAGGUCUAAUUACGUUCAAAAUUACUCUAUGAGGUCGAAAAACCUAAAAUUAGAUUUAACCUCACAAAGACUUUGUCCAAAUUUUGGACAUGUCCUUAGCCCAAAACGCUCAGACAUUCAGAAAUCUGCUGUUUAGAGGAGUUCGGUAAUUGAAUCGAGGAGUUCCGAAUACCUGAGCAUGCGCAUAUAUUUAAAACUAACUGCGCAUGCGCAGAUUACGGAAGUAGCUGUGUUUGGACACUUUGUAUUAGCAGUGAGGAAAUUCGGAAACACAAAAAGCAAAUGCAAGUUCAGAUACCACUGAAAGUGAACAUCAAUGGAACUUUGAUGAUCUAGGCCACUCUAUUGUUGCAGCAACACCAGCAGGCGUCGGACAUUCAUAAAGUUGAAAGAACAAACCUAUGACUUGAACACACAAUUUGUGAUCUGAAUAUAGUUCACAAAUUUAAGGAAAGCAACUAUUAAAGACAUCCAGAUCGGUGGUAUACAUGAAGUAUGAGUUAAAGACUUUUCAGAAGAACAAGCACAAUCCCGAUUCAUUUUUGCCAUUGCCUUCUCCAAACGGCGACAUUCAGGACCUGACUUACUUUUCAGAAAAAGAAGAUGAAUCGAUUUUUGAAAGUUAAUCUAAAAAGAUAACAUUUACAUGGGUCGUGGAUUUGAAUUACAUUUUCUUGAUGGGCAACUAGUUUCAAGUAUUUGGAUGUCUAUUCUCAAGCUACUGCAAAC